CCCCUCUAAGGGUCGCACCUGGAGAGUUUCCAGAACUUUACCAGUCUCAACUACGGGAGGGAGAGUCAAGCAGAGGCAUAGUCAUUCCAUUCCUAUCUUGGGCAGUGGCUAGUGUGUGGAAGGCAAUCUGCUAAAAGU